rnacentral:lncRNA from 1 species
UCCUGCCCACCUUCCUCGUUCGUUCCCUUUAUCGCGGCGUAAAAACGUCUCGACGCAUGCUGCUUACUUCUUACUUACUUAUAUAUGUAACCUGCACGUAUUGACGUAGGCUGUAUAAUAUUGUUGAAACGGGGGAACAAAACGGGUGAUUUCACCCUUUGUAACAAUAUUAAUAAUAUACGGAUGCGGUAAAAGUAGCUAGGCGAAAUGCGAGAGGCGAGAAACAACUUCAUUCCUGCCUUUUUCUCGCCAUUUCAUUGCGCGAGGAUCGAAAUGACCAGAUAUUAGGUAUGUUACACGAUAACGGUUACAUUCACGCUGCAUAUUUAAGAGACAGCCAGCUACUAUAAACCAGAAUUUGUAGGUGCAGUUCGAUUCGAUUGCCUGGAGAUGCAGCGAGGAUAUUGGAUAACGUACACGAUAUUAUUGGAUCUACCCUCAUUGAUCGAUGGAUAAAACUUUUUUGCCAAUGGACAGAGAGGACUUUUAUACGUACAAAAAUUACACUAGCCAACAUGGGAACCAAAAAUAGUGAUAUGCAACAUGCGAAGGGUGGAGUUCACCGUUCACCAUGACCCACCUACCUAUAGUAAUACGAGGGGCUGGGGUGACGACCAUGGGAAGACCCUUCGGACAGGGGGAGGAAUUGGGGCGAGGCCGAGAGCGUGGCUUCCAAAGGUUGAGGCGGGCACGGAAGUGGGUUAGAAAAUGUACCCCCUGUGCCAUAAAGUCUAUUAUGAUGUGUAAGAAUCACAGAACGUCGUGAUUUGUAUUCUUAUAAUGUAUUGUCGCAGCACCAUUGGAUUGAAAGUGAACUGGAAUUGUUAUACAAAUACACACGAUGUAUCGACGUUAUUUAAUUAGAUGAACAUAUAUGUAUAAUACACGUGUAUGUGUAUCUGACUGCAUCGUUUUAACAAUAUAACACAACCCAGGCAAAUGUUA